rnacentral:rRNA from 1 species
GAUGAACGCUGGCGGCAGGCUUAACACAUGCAAGUCGAGGGGUAUAGGUUUUCGGACCUAGAGACCGGCGCACGGGUGCGUAACGCGUAUGCAAUCUACCUUUCACAGAGGGAUAGCCCAGAGAAAUUUGGAUUAAUACCUCAUAGUAUAGCAGUUUCGCAUGAAACCACUAUUAAAGUAUCAACGGUGAAAGAUGAGCAUGCGUCCCAUUAGCUAGAUGGUAAGGUAACGGCUUACCAUGGCUACGAUGGGUAGGGGUCCUGAGAGGGAGAUCCCCCACACUGGUACUGAGACACGGACCAGACUCCUACGGGAGGCAGCAGUGAGGAAUAUUGGUCAAUGGACGCAAGUCUGAACCAGCCAUGCCGCGUGCAGGAUGACGGUCCUAUGGAUUGUAAACUGCUUUUGUACGAGAAGAAACAACAUUACGUGUAAUGUCUUGACGGUAUCGUAAGAAUAAGGAUCGGCUAACUCCGUGCCAGCCGCCGCAGUAA